GUGCAGCAGUCGAGAAUACUUUACAAUGUGCGAAAGCACGAUAAGGGAACUCUGAGUGCCUCCUAAGGAGGCUGUUCAGGUGUCUAAAAAGCACCUGGAGUAAGGGCUGGGUAAGACCGGUGCCAGCCGCCGCGGUAACACCGGCAGCCCAGGUGGUAGCCACUUUUAUUGGGUCUAAAGCGUCCGUAGCCGGUUGAGUAAGUUCCUUGGGAAAUUUGGCUGCUCAACAGUCAAGCUUCCAGGGAAUACUGCUCGACUUGGGACUGGGAGAGGUCAGAGGUACUCCAGGGAUAGGGGUGAAAUCCAUUAAUCCCUGGGGGACCACCGGUAGCGAAGGCGUCUGACCAGACCAGGUCCGACGGUGAGGGACGAAGGCUAGGGUCGCGAACCGGAUUAGAUACCCCCGUA
rnacentral:rRNA from 1 species